rnacentral:rRNA from 1 species
UACGAAGGGUGCAAGCGUUGUUCGGAUUUACUGGGCGUAAAGCGCGCGCAGGCGGAUAAAAAAGUCAGGUGUGAAAUCUCGGGGCUCAACCCCGAAACUGCGCCUGAAACUCUUUGUCUAGAAUCUUGGAGGGGGUAGGGGAAUUUCUCAUGUAGGGGUAAAAUCCGUAGAGAUGAGAAGGAACACCGGUGGCGAAAGCGCCUACCUGGACAAGAAUUGACGCUGAGGCGCGAAAGCGUGGGGAGCAAACAGG